UUAAUACCGCAUACGAUCUACGGAGGAAAGCGGGGGAUCUUCGGACCUCGCGCUGCAGGGGCGGCCGAUGGCAGAUUAGCUAGUUGGUGGGGUAAAGGCCUACCAAGGCGACGAUCUGUAGCUGGUCUGAGAGGACGACCAGCCACACUGGGACUGAGACACGGCCCAGACUCCUACGGGAGGCAGCAGUGGGGAAUUUUGGACAAUGGGGGCAACCCUGAUCCAGCAAUGCCGCGUGUGUGAGGAAGGCCUUCGGGUUGUAAAGCACUUUUGUCCGGAAAGAAAACUUCGUCCCUAAUAUGGAUGGAGGAUGACGGUACCGGAAGAAUAAGCACCGGCUAACUACGUGCCAGCAGCCGCGGUAAUACGUAGGGUGCGAGCGUUAAUCGGAAUUACUGGGCGUAAAGCGUGCGCAGGCGGUCUGUUAAGACCGAUGUGAAAUCCCCGGGCUUAACCUGGGAACUGCAUUGGUGACUGGCAGGCUAGAGUGUGGCAGAGGGAGGUAGAAUUCCACGUGUAGCAGUGAAAUGCGUAGAGAUGUGGAGGAAUACCGAUGGCGAAGGCAGCCUCCUGGGCCAACACUGACGCUCAUGCACGAAAGCGUGGGGAGCACACA
rnacentral:rRNA from 1 species